UACGUAGGUGGCAAGCGUUGUCCGGAUUUACUGGGCGUAAAGAGCGCGCAGGCGGUCGUUCAAGUCGCGUGUGAAAGCCCCCCGGCUCAACUGGGGAGGGUCACGCGAUACUGAUCGACUCGAAGGCAGGAGAGGGUAGUGGAAUUCCCGGUGUAGUGGUGAAAUGCGUAGAUAUCGGGAGGAACACCAGUGGCGAAGGCGACUACCUGGCCUGUUCUUGACGCUGAGGCGCGAAAGCGUGGGGAGCAAACAGGG
rnacentral:rRNA from 1 species